GAGAAAUUUGGUUUUUGGUGAACUGAAACAAUAUACCAAUAAAAAUUUAGCGCUUGGCUGUACAUAUGAAUGUUAACUUUGUUAAAAUAAUUCUCCCUUUAUAAGAGAAGAUUUCCUAGUUCAAAUAUAUUUUUUGAAAAAAUAUAGUAUUUUCCUGACAAACCUUUUGAUUCCUCAACAUCCAUAUCUAAGAAGGAUAAUAGUGGUGUAUUUAUGUUGCUUUGGGUCUCUUAUCACUCAGAUCAUUCAUCAGAAAAAUAUUUAAAAAAUAAUUCUAUUUUGACGUUUCCUUUGUGUUCAUUGUUCCAUCAUAGUAGUUUAGGUGCACAUGAAACCAGACCAUAUGUUUCAGUUUCACUCUUUGGACCAUGAUGGUGGUGUGCAAGGUGGGCUAGAUCGUAAUGCUAAAAGAAUCAAUGGAGGUUAUUGUAUAGCUUUUAGAUUCUCCAAAAAAUAAUCUAGCAGAUGGAUGAUCCUAUUAUCACGUAUGGUGGUGCUGUGCAAGGAAAUGGAGCAGCAUGAUGGUAGCUAAUGCUGUUAUUUUCACAUAGUGUAGUAUAUUGGGAGCCAAGGCCGAGUAGCAAGCCAUGUGUCACCGCAAAGACAGGAGAGAGAUUUAAUUAAUUGUAUUUGCAAGAUUUGGUCUUUCCUUCUUGUUUUCCUGGUCAUCUCACAGGUUUUAUCACUUACAUUUCCUUCUAUGGUGGUCUGAUCAUUGUACUUUGGGACAUUGUACUUUUAGGACGUAAUGUGCACUUCUGGUUGUUAUUUUAAAUUGCUCAUGUCUUGAUAUGUCUUUGAAAUUCUUGACAUCUGCGCCAGUAGCCUAAACCUCCAUGGCAUGCUCCAUCGGAGUAUUUUGUUUGUUGUACAAUGUUCAAGUGCGACCUUCCAAUUUUUUUUUUGUAACUAUAAGGUUUGGCACCUCAGAUAAGUUCUUGAAAUACCAAUGUCAUAUUUCAAUUAGAAAAUAAGAUUUAGUUUGAUCAUGCAUGCAAUUGUAAUAACCCUACUUUGAGCUUUUAUGUACUGGUUUAAAUAGUUAAAUCUUCUAGAUUCUUUUGCAUAUUUUGUUGGAAUUAUACUAUGAGAGCAUCUUAGUUUUCACUAAGUGAUAAAAUACAUUUUCUAUUUCCGUAAUACAGGUCAUUAGUGGUCACUUGGGAUGGGUGCGAUCUGUAGAAUUUGAUCCAGGGAACAAAUGGUUUUGUCCUGGUUUUGCUGAUAGGACAAUAACGUUGGGAGAAUCAAGAAAGAAAGAAAAGAAGAGCACUUCAAGGGUAAAAAGUUAGUUGCCGAUGCAGCCCGUUGCAACGCACGUGCAUCCCAUCGUGCAACAUGGUAAGUAAAGUAUUUUGUCUAUUGUUAUCAUGGUUUAUUGUUGUUUCUAAUAGCUCCACUUGUAGAUUUAUCUUCCCUAUGCAUUCAUCGGCUGAUACAUCUUGUACGUCAUCGACAAAGAGGAACGUCGUAUAUAUAUUAUGGACCCUAUUCAAACAUCACAAUCAUCAGAGGAUAAAAUUUUGAGGCAUGCAUUGAAAUUAAAAAGUUUUGCAAGGAUUUCAAACAAGCACUCAAAAUAAAGCUGUCUGGUUGGAAUUCCGAUAUAUCUAAAUGGCAACGUUUAUUUCUGUUUAGUAUUCCAACGAGUAUAGAUGGAUUGUGUUUGCCUAUUUUGUUUUUCAUUUUAUGCUCUGGUGGAACGGUAAAGAAUUGGUCAAGCCAGUUUGCACGAAUGGGUAUGAGUUGAGGAAAUAGUUUUUACUAUACUUGCUAAAAUGUCGUGGGAAUGAAGCUAAAGAAAACUUUCCAGAUAUUGUGAAAGAAUUUCUUGAGCGCAUCAUCUAGAUAUUGAUAGUUUUGUAACAGAUGUUUAGUUCGAACAUCGCUCAGUUUGUUACAUGGACAUGUUGUUAAUCUUUAGUUUUGUUAUCAAUUUACAUUACAAAAUUGGACUUCAAUUAUUCAAUAAUUGUGUUUGUGUUAUAUUGUUUGCACA